CUGCCUCGGUUGCUAAGAGAUGCCGGUACAGUGACUGGAGUAAUGUGACGCUGGUUAGCAGAGAGUUUUCUAGAUGUGAUGUCCAGCCGUAAAGGAGGGAAAGCAAAGCCUGGAGCUGGGAAAGCACCGAAAAAUCCCAGCCAACCAGCAAAAAAAGCUCCUAACAGAUCUGCUCCAAGCAAGGAGCCAAACACUUCCACAUCCAAGAAGUUCAACAAACCAGACAGUCGGAACUCUGCUGCUGAUCAGUCCACCCUCUCUCCUGUCAAUGAUUUGCAAGGUACUGUGUAACCCCAGAGCCUGAAU